UGCUGCGCCGAUGCUCCGUACGUUCGCAGUAACGGGUAGAGCGGAAGGCUCCGUGGCCAGGGAAGAGCGGCACGGACGCGUUCCUGCUCGCUCCGUUGCACCGGAAUUUCGACGGCUGGGUUCGGCCGCUAAAUUGAUGGCGCUACCGGAAGAAAUUUCAGAAAAAAAGGGUGGCUUUUUCGUCGAUCUCUUUGUGAGAGUAUCAAAUCAGGCGGCGGUAAAUACGUAGAAGCAGCUAGGCGUACUACGGCGUGUACCGGACAGCGUUGGCGUGCCGCUCUGCUAGCAGCGGAGAGCCAGAUGAGGAUGCCCGUGAUAUGAGAAAAGCUCUGUCCAGAGAUAUGGAGACGAAAUCAGUUGUACCUCACCCUGUGACACCA